rnacentral:rRNA from 1 species
UACGUAGGGGGCAAGCGUUGUCCGGAUUUAUUGGGCGUAAAGCGCUCGCAGGUGGUCCGAGGCGUCGUGCGUGAAAGACCCCGGCUCAACUGGGGAGUGUCGUGCGAUACGGUCGGACUGGAGGCCAGUAGGGGGAUGUGGAAUUCCGGGUGUAGUGGUGGAAUGCGUAGAGAUCCGGAGGAACACCAGCGGCGAAGGCGGCCCGCUGGGCAGUAGCUGACGCUGAGGCGCGACAGCGUGGGGAGCAAACAGG